GGGUACCAGGACAAGCUGACGAGCACGCCGCGUGAGUGAUGAAGGCUUUCGGAUCGUAAAACUCUGUUGUUAGGGAAGAACAAGUGCUAGUUGAAUAAGCUGGCACCUUGACGGUACCUAACCAGAAAGCCACGGCUAACUACGUGCCAGCAGCCGCGGUAAUACG
rnacentral:rRNA from 1 species